UUGCAUUAUUAACAAAUGAAACUGUGAGUAUAAUAAAAUUAUAAUACAACAUAAACAUGAAAAAAAAUGAAUGCUAAAAAAAAGAAAGGAAAUGUUAUAUGUGGGUAUUGAACCCACCACACAAGGGGAGAUGAGACUCCUUCCCCUCCACCCGGCCAUAGGCAAUCAACUAUUAAACUAACAACGACCAAACAUAUAAACAAGAACAAAUAAAAAGAAUAAUGAUAAAAAACUAACAAAAAAAGAAAUGGGCCGGUGGAGUAUGUCAAACCCGAAGCCCACGAAGCGGUGCCCAUAUCACCAAAACAGGAAAAAGUCAAAAGUCCAACGGUCACCCUAGCCGCAUGGCUGUUGGGUGACGGAAGCAGAAGAGAUCUCUCAU
rnacentral:lncRNA from 1 species